rnacentral:lncRNA from 1 species
CUUGCAAUUUAUGGGGUAAUUUGGCAUCCGCUUGGAAGUCAAGUCUCUCAUCAUGGGAAUAGGGGGCUGCUUCUGGCCCUAGCUUCUCUUUAUGUGGCUUUGGUGCUAAACAACUUGUUGGGUUGAAAGUCCUAAGCCACAAAAGAAGUGCGGAUAAAAGUUCCUCAAAUAACCUCCAAAUAUUUUAUUUUAAAACCUAUUAUGUGUGGCCCUUCAUACGGGAAAAAAUAAACUUUAACUACAUAGGACACAUUACACACAUAACACAUAAUAAUAGUAGUAAUGCAUGUAAAUGAGUUUUGAAUUUUAAAAAGAAAAUUGCAAUUAAACAUUUAUAAUCUUAGGACCUAGCAUAAUCGCAAUUAUUUUUUUUUCUUUUUUUUUUUAUGAUUCUAGUACUGUUGUGUGCUACUAUUUUGCAAUUUUUAUAUUGAUACCUAAAAAUUUUACACCUAGCAUUAGCUUCUAGACUUGGUAGUUCCCUUGAUUAUAAAAACGAGAAGUUUUUUUUUUAUGUUCAUUAAAGCUAAGGCUGGGGAUGAGUGACCUGGGGAUUAGUGACCUUGUUUGUUUUGUCAGGAAACCAAUAUCAAUUUCUCAAUUUAUCCUUCCCGAAAAAUCAUAAAUCCUUAUUUGA